CUGAAGGCUUUAGAAAGUCUACAAGAUAUGAUUCAGUCGUUUCCAUUGAGAGAUCCCUCUUAUGAAAGACUACAUAGUGACCUAGAAAAAAUAAGGGCCAAGUUUAAACAGGUCUGUUCCCUUCUGAAUGUUAAGCCACAGUUUCAAAACUCAUCUGAGAAAGGAAUAUCUUUUUGAUGAGGAUACUCCACAUGCAGUCGAGAAUUUCUUUUAUGAAAGGGAUGAUAGCAAACAGGUUGCCAGAACUGGCACAGCUGAAGGUGAAACCAAGCUCUGGCAGACAUGCAAAAUUUGGUUGUUCAUACAUUGCAUGCCAGUGUUUAUAAAUAACAGCUUUUAUUACAUUGAGACUUGAAGUAUAGAUCUGAAAUCAACAUCAACCAACAAUACAAUAAGAGCACGUCGUAAUUGUUUACUAGGACAAUAAACUACCUGCACGUAUUCACAACAUCUGUCAAUAACGUUUUACGGGAAAUUAGUAAAUCAUUACGUAUGCAGUGAAAAGGAAUCUGGUGGAAUUGUCUACCAGAGAAAUCCAAGCAUUUCAUGGAUUUAUCUUUCAAUUUCCCUCAUCUGAAUUAAGUAAUGCCAUGAAUAAUAAUGUAGCAAAUUUUAAGCUUUUAGAAGUUGUUAGACCUUAAAUGUGUGUCACAUUGACUGUUUGUUGAUUUUGAAACAUCACAUUAUUUUACUUGACAAAAAAAUUCCUCCCACCAAAACCACUAUUUGUACUAUUUUCAAUGUUCCUGUGAGGACAUCCCUGAAUUGAUUGAUGUUCUGCCUGUAGGCUUUAAAUGAAGAAAGGAGAAGGGAUGGGGUGGGGUGGGGUGGGGUGGGGCAGAGUGCACAUUGGCAGCAUUCCAUCAAAGUGGGUUUGAGUUUUCAAGACAAGAAACAUCUUCAAGAACAUCUUUGGAUCGAGUAAAAAAAAAUUAUAUAUAUAUAUAUACAGGUAUAUUACAUCACUUAAGAGUGAUGCACUUUUUAUGUACAGACACAGAUGUGGUGAAUUGAGACCAUCUUCUGGGCCUUCUGCCCUGUGUGUUAGGGCACGGUAAAAGCUAGCUUGUUAAAUAUUAAUAUAUACCUUGUGAUGGGUUGCUUUUAUGAGCCCUGAGGAACAGUGGCUGUGUUAGAUUUCCGCCAAUCAAAUAUAACUGCUCCCAGUACAUGAAUCUGCAGUUGAAUGUCAUCAGACCAAAAUGAAAUGUA